AAGCCCUUACUAGAUUGAUGGGCUUC
rnacentral:tRNA from 1 species